CCCAGCAUGGUGUAGUGGUCUGAGCAUUGGACUAGGACUCUGGAGACCAGGGUUCGAAUCCUGGGUUGGCC